UGCAAUUUCCCUUUUUACAUUAUUUUGAGGAUUUCUAACCGUUUCCCUCAGAAUCUGUGGAGCCAAUCAUUACCCAACUCUCCUUCUUUCUUUCCUUCUUUCUUUCUCUCUUCAUCGCCGCUCCCGAGAAAUCUUUGUUCGGAGCCACCAGAGGCGAAGGCGACUUCUUAAGAAACCGCACCGGAUCGAUCGACGUAGCACACCGUCGAAUCGGAUACCAAACAUGAACGAGAAGGCCUCCGUCUCUAAGGAGCUCGAAGCCAAACAUACUAAGAUUUUAGCAGGUCUUCUCAAGCUUCCAGAAAAUAGGGAAUGUGCAGACUGCCGGAGCAAGGCUCCACGAUGGGCAAGUGUAAACCUUGGAAUUUUUAUAUGCAUGCAAUGCUCGGGUAUUCAUCGGAGUCUUGGAGUACAUAUCUCAAAGGUGCGGUCUACUACUCUUGACACAUGGCUACCAGAACAGGUUGCUUUUAUGCAGUCUAUGGGAAAUGAGAGGUCUAAUUGUUACUGGGAAGCUGAACUACCACCAAAUUAUGAUAAGAGAGGGAGUUCUACGUUCAUUCGUGCCAAGUACGAAGAGAAAAGGUGGGUCUCUAAGAAUAGAAUACAGCCAACUCCACAAUUAGGUGGAAUGAGAAGUAUUUAUUGCGAUUCGGUUGAAAGUGGACCCAAAAGCUCUAUUACAAAGAAGAUGAGGAACUUUUCUCUUGAGGAAGAAAUUCUCACUCAGCACGUGACAACAACAAUCCCCACAGUAACAAAAGCACGCUGGAAUUCUUUAGAUAUGAAGAGCCAUAUUGCUGCUCCAAGAGGCCCUUCGUUAGCGAAAGAAGUCGAUACAUCCACAAAAAAUACAAAUGGAUCCCCAGACCUCUUCAACUUACUAUAUGUCCAAGAUAAAAACCAGGACUGCUCUAGCGUAAUUCCAGCUCGUUGGGCAACUUUCGAUUGAAAACGAAUUUUAUACAAUGCUUUGGUGGUAAAUUAUCCAUUUGAGGAGAGGUUAAAUUUUGGACGGAGCAUGCAGCAUAUCUUGUCGACAAGGACUUCAAAAGGCAUGGGCCCGYAUUCAAUCCCCAGGAGUGUAAAUUGCUUGAAAAUUCAUUCUCUUCUCCUCUCCAAUCAAAAGUACACUGCAAUUUCCUUACAUUAUUUACCUCGUCAUUCUUUCAUUCUGUAAUCCAAACGUGAAAUCAAGGAUGGGGUUUCUUUUCUGGUCAAA